GACGAACGCUGGCGGCGUGCUUAACACAUGCCAGUCGAACGGAAAGGCCCUGCUUUUGUGGGGUGCUCGAGUGGCGAACGGGUGAGUAACACGUGAGUAACCUGCCCUUGACUUUGGGAUAACUUCAGGAAACUGGGGCUAAUACCGGAUAGGAGCUCCUGCUGCAUGGUGGGGGUUGGAAAGUUUCGGCGGUUGUGGAUGGACUCGCGGCUUAUCAGCUUGUUGGUGGGGUAGUGGCUUACCAAGGCUUUGACGGGUAGCCGGCCUGAGAGGGUGACCGGCCACAUUGGGACUGAGAUACGGCCCAGACUCCUACGGGAGGCAGCAGUGGGGAAUAUUGCACAAUGGGCGGAAGCCUGAUGCAGCAACGCCGCGUGCGGGAUGACGGCCUUCGGGUUGUAAACCGCUUUCGCCUGUGACGAAGCGUGAGUGACGGUAAUGGGUAAAGAAGCACCGGCUAACUACGUG
rnacentral:rRNA from 1 species